CAGGCCUAACACAUGCAAGUCGAGCGGCAGCGGGAAAGUAGCUUGCUACUUUUGCCGGCGAGCGGCGGACGGGUGAGUAAUGCCUGGGGAUCUGCCCAGUCGAGGGGGAUAACUACUGGAAACGANNGCUAAUACCGCAUACGCCCUACGGGGGAAAGCAGGGGACCUUCGGGCCUUGCGCGAUUGGAUGAACCCAGGUGGGAUUAGCUAGUUGGUGAGGUAACGGCUCACCAAGGCGACGAUCCCUAGCUGGUCUGAGAGGAUGAUCAGCCACACUGGAACUGAGACACGGUCCAGACUCCUACGGGAGGCAGCAGUGGGGAAUAUUGCACAAUGGGGGAAACCCUGAUGCAGCCAUGCCGCGUGUGUGAAGAAGGCCUUCGGGUUGUAAAGCACUUUCAGCGAGGAGGAAAGGUCAGUAGCUAAUAUCUGCUGGCUGUGACGUUACUCNCAGAAGAAGCACCGGCUAACUCCGUGCCAGC
rnacentral:rRNA from 1 species